GAAUUCAUUGUGGAGAGCAUUGGCAGCAUCACUGAUGAUGAUGCAGAACACUACAUGGCAGAUAAUGAGAAUUCUGACCACAACUGUCAGAAUUUGAAACACUCCCUGUUCCUGCAUUUAAGAAAAGCAUUUGGGGGGACAGGCUCCGAUGCUGAUGAUGAGGACAACUAGGAAGAGGCAGUGUCAAUGUGGCAGACCGGGGGUGCAAAGAUUGUUGGUCUGACACCAAUGACAACCUGGAUGUGGACACCCCCAGCCGAUGUCUCAGAACCUCCAUACCUUCAGGACCUCCACAUACACAAGCACAGCAGGAGCCUCACUCAAUGCUCACCUCCUAGGGCACCUCACUUAGUGUAAUCUCUGUUGUUUAAUUGCAUAUCCCUUGUUUUAUCUUUUAGUUUUAUCUAUAUGUUCUACGUGUUCAGUACUUAUGUUAUGUGUUUUAUGAAAUAAAAUGUUUAUUUAAUUUCUUAUUACACUAUU
rnacentral:lncRNA from 1 species